rnacentral:rRNA from 1 species
CAAUAGCGUAUAUUAAAGUUGUUGCGGUAAAAAAGCUCGUAGUUGGAUUUCUGUUGAGAGCGACCGGUCCAUACCAUGUAUGCGUAUCUGGCUUGCUCUCGGCAUCCUCUCGAUAGACGUUACUGCGCUUGAUUGCGUGGUGCGGAUCUCGGGACUUUUACUUUGAGGAAAUUAGAGUGUUCACGGCAGGCUUUCGCCAGAAUACAUUAGCAUGGAAUAAUACUAUAGGAUCUUGGUUCUAUUUUGUUGGUUUCUAGAAUUGAGAUAAUGAUUAAUAGGGACAAUUGGGGGCAUUCGUAUCAACACGUCAGAGGUGGAAUUCUUGGAUUGUGUUGUGACGAACUACUGCGAAAGCAUUUGCCAAGGAUGUUUUCAUUGA